rnacentral:SRP_RNA from 1 species
GGGUCUUAUACAAUGAAGACCCGCGAACCGUGUCAGGUCGGGAACGAAGCAGCACUAAGUGGAAUUCUUCAUGUGUUGUAAGUAUGCCU